GACGGAGGGUGCAAGCGUUGUUCGGAAUCAUUGGGCGUAAAGGGCGCGUAGGCGGUUUUGUAAGUCGAAUGUGAAAGCCCAGGGCUCAACCUUGGAAGUGCAUCCGAAACUGCGAAACUUGAAUCCUGGAGAGGGUGGUGGAAUUCCCAGUGUAGAGGUGAAAUUCGUAGAUAUUCGGAGGAACACCGGUGGCGAAGGCGGCAUCCUGGACCGACACUGACGCUGAGGAGCGAAAGCCAGGGGAGCAAACGGG
rnacentral:rRNA from 1 species